AUUGAACGCUGGCGGCAGGCCUAACACAUGCAAGUCGAACGAGUGGCGGACGGGUGAGUAAUGUCUGGGAAACUGCCUGAUGGAGGGGGAUAACUACUGGAAACGGUAGCUAAUACCGCAUACCAUCUGAUGUGCCCAGGGGGGAUUCGCGAGUAGGUGGGGUAACGGCUACCCUCGGCGACGAUCCCUAGUUGGUCUGAGAGGAUGACCUGCCACACGGGAACUGGUACACGGUCCAGACUCCUACGGGAGGCAGCAGUGGUGAAUAUUGCACAAUGGGCGCAAGCCUGAUGCAGCCAUGCCGCGUGUAUGAAGAAGGCCUUCGGGUUGUAAAGUACGUUCAGCGGGGAGGCGUUACCCGCAGAAGAAGCACCGGCUAACUCCGUGCCAGCCGCCGCGGUAAUAC
rnacentral:rRNA from 1 species